rnacentral:rRNA from 1 species
GAUGAACGCUAGCUACAGGCUUAACACAUGCAAGUCGAGGGGAAACGACAUCGAAAGCUUGCUUUUGAUGGGCGUCGACCGGCGCACGGGUGAGUAACGCGUAUCCAACCUGCCCACCACUUGGGGAUAACCUUGCGAAAGUAAGACUAAUACCCAAUGAUAUCUCUAGAAGACAUCUGAAAGAGAUUAAAGAUUUAUCGGUGAUGGAUGGGGGUGCGUCUGAUUAGCUUGUUGGCGGGGUAGCGGCCCACCAAGGCUACGAUCAGUAGGGGUUCUGAGAGGAAGGUCCCCCACAUUGGAACUGAGACACGGUCCAAACUCCUACGGGAGGCAGCAGUGAGGAAUAUUGGUCAAUGGGCGAGAGCCUGAACCAGCCAAGUAGCGUGCAGGAUGACGGCCCUAUGGGUUGUAAACUGCUUUUAUAAGGGAAUAAAGUGAGCCUCGUGAGGCUUUUUGCGUGUACCUUAUGAAUAAGGACCGGCUAAUUCCGUGCCAGCCGCCGCCGUAA